rnacentral:rRNA from 1 species
CCUACGUGAGGCAGCAUUGAGGAAUAUUGGUCAAUGGGCGGGAGCCUGAACCAGCCAAGUCGCGUUAGGGAAGACGGUCCUAUGGAUUGUAAACCUCUUUAGGCGGGGAGCAAUGCCGGGCACGCGUGCCCGGAGGGAGAGUACCCGCAGAAUAAGCAUCGGCUAACUCCGUGCCAGCAGCCGCGGUAAUACGGAGUAUGCGAGCGUUAUCCGGAUUUAUUGGGUUUAAAGGGUGCGUAGGCGGAUUUUGAAGUCAGCGGUAAACAGGCCGGGCGCAACACGGGCCGGCCGUUGAAACUGGGGAUCUUGAGUGGGCGAGAAGUAUGCGGAAUGCGUGGGGUAGCGGUGAAAUGCAUAG